GACGAACGCUGGCGGCGUGCCUAAUACAUGCAAGUCGAACGCAGUUGCGAACGUGUGAGUAACGCGUAGGUAACUUCCUGGUAACGGGGGAUAACUAUUGGAAACGCUAGCUAAUACCGCAUACUUACAGGUUGACCUGCGUUGUAUUAGUUAGUUGGUGGGGUAACGGCCCACCAAGGCAACGGUACAUAGCCGGCCUGAGAGGGGGAUCGGCCACCCUGGGAUCGGGGCCCGGCCCAGACUCCUACGGGAGGCAGCAGUAGGGAAUCUUCGGCAAUGGACGGAAGUCUGACCGAGCAACGCCGCGUGAGUGAAGAAGGUUUUCGGAUCGUAAAGCUCUGUUGUAAGAGAAGCGGUAUCUUACCAGAAAGGGACGGCUAACUACGUGCCAGCAGCCGCGGUAAUAC
rnacentral:rRNA from 1 species